UACGUAGGGUCCGAGCGUUGUCCGGAAUUACUGGGCGUAAAGAGCUCGUAGGUGGUUUGUCACGUUGUUCGUGAAAACUCACAGCUCAACUGUGGGCGUGCGGGCGAUACGGGCAGACUGGAGUACUGCAGGGGAGACUGGAAUUCCUGGUGUAGCGGUGGAAUGCGCAGAUAUCAGGAAGAACACCCGUGGCGAAGGCGGCUCUCUGGGACGGUACUGACGCUGAGGCGCGAAAGCGUGGGGAGCGAAUAGG
rnacentral:rRNA from 1 species